CGGAGGGUGCGAGCGUUGUUCGGAAUUAUUGGGCGUAAAGCGCGUGUAGGCGGCUCCUUAAGUCUGAUGUGAAAGCCCCGGGCUCAACCUGGGAAGUGCAUUGGAAACUGGGGAACUUGAAUACGGGAGAGGGUAGUGGAAUUCCUGGUGUAGGAGUGAAAUCCGUAGAUAUCAGGAGGAACACCGGUGGCGAAGGCGGCUGCCUGGACCGAUAUUGACGCUGAGACGCGAAAGCGUGGGGAGCAAAACAGGAUUAGAUACCCUGGUAGUCCACGCCGUAAACGAUGAGUACUAGGUGUUGCGGGUAUUGACCCCUGCAGUGCCGCAGCUAACGCAUUAAGUACUCCGCCUGGGAAGUACGGUCGCAAGACUAA
rnacentral:rRNA from 1 species